AUUGAACGCUGGCGGCAUGCCUUACACAUGCAAGUCGAACGGUAACAGGUUAAGCUGACGAGUGGCGAACGGGUGAGUAAUGUAUCGGAACGUGCCCAGUCGUGGGGGAUAACUACUCGAAAGAGUGGCUAAUACCGCAUACGACCUGAGGGUGAAAGCGGGGGACCGUAAGGCCUCGCGCGAUUGGAGCGGCCGAUAUCAGAUUAGCUAGUUGGUGGGGUAAAAGCCCACCAAGGCGACGAUCUGUAGCUGGUCUGAGAGGACGACCGGCCAGACUGGGACUGAGACACGGCCCAGACUCCUACGGGAGGCAGCAGUGGGGAAUUUUGGACAAUGGACGCAAGUCUGAUCCAGCCAUGCCGCGUGCGGGAAGAAGGCCUUCGGGUUGUAAACCGCUUUUGUCAGGGAAGAAACGAGUUUCUCUAAUACAGAGACUUAAUGACGGUACCUGAAGAAUAAGCACCGGCUAACUACGUGCCAGCCGCCGCGGUAAGAC
rnacentral:rRNA from 1 species